CAUGCGUGACAUUAGUUAGUUGGUGAGGUAACGGCUCACCAAGACUACGAUGUCUAGGGGUUCUGAGAGGAUGAUCCCCCACACUGGUACUGAGACACGGACCAGACUCCUACGGGAGGCAGCAGUGAGGAAUAUUGGUCAAUGGGCGCAAGCCUGAACCAGCCAUCCCGCGUGAAGGAUGACAGCCCUAUGGGUUGUAAACUUCUUUUCUGUACCAAGAAACAAUCCCUCGAGAGGGGUCUUGACGGUAGUACAGGAAUAAGGACCGGCUAACUCCGUGCCAGCAGCCGCGGUAAUACGGAGGGUCCAAGCGUUAUCCGGAUUUAUUGGGUUUAAAGGGUGCGUAGGCGGAUUUGUAAGUCAGUGGUGAAAUCCUGCAGCUUAACUGUAGAACUGCCAUUGAUACUGCUAAUCUUGAGUAUAGUUGAGGUAGGCGGAAUGAGUAGUGUAGCGGUGAAAUGCUUAGAUAUUACUCAGAACACCGAUUGCGAAGGCAGCUUGCCAAACUAUGACUGACGCUGAUGCACGAAAGCGUGGGGAUCGAACAGGAUUAGAUACCCUGGUAGUCCACGCCGUAAACGAUGCUCACUCGCUGUUUGCGAUACACAGUAAGCGGCCAAGCGAA
rnacentral:rRNA from 1 species